AGAUUAAGUUAUUAAGGGCGCACGGUGGAUGCCUUGGCACUAGAAGCCAAUGAAGGACGUUACUAACGACGAUAUGCUUUGGGGAGCUGUAAGUAAGCUUUGAUCCAGAGAUUUCCGAAUGGGGAAACCCAGCAUGAGUUAUGUCAUGUUAUCGAUAUGUGAAUACAUAGCAUAUCAGAAGGCACACCCGGAGAACUGAAACAUCUUAGUACCCGGAGGAAGAGAAAGAAAAUUCGAUUCCCUUAGUAGCGGCGAGCGAAACGGGAAGAGCCCAAACCAACAAGCUUGCUUGUUGGGGUUGUAGGACACUCUAUACGGAGUUACAAAGGACGACAUUAGACGAAUCAUCUGGAAAGAUGAAUCAAAGAAGGUAAUAAUCCUGUAGUCGAAAAUGUUGUCUCUCUUGAGUGGAUCCUGAGUACGACGGAGCACGUGAAAUUCCGUCGGAAUCUGGGAGGACCAUCUCCUAAGGCUAAAUACUCUCUAGUGACCGAUAGUGAACCAGUACCGUGAGGGAAAGGUGAAAAGCACCCCGGAAGGGGAGUGAAAUAGAACCUGAAACCGUGUGCUUACAAGUAGUCAGAGCCCGUUAAUGGGUGAUGGCGUGCCUUUUGUAGAAUGAACCGGCGAGUUACGAUUUGAUGCAAGGUUAAGCAGUAAAUGUGGAGCCGUAGCGAAAGCGAGUCUGAAUAGGGCGUUUAGUAUUUGGUCGUAGACCCGAAACCAGGUGAUCUACCCUUGGUCAGGUUGAAGUUCAGGUAACACUGAAUGGAGGACCGAACCGACUUACGUUGAAAAGUGAGCGGAUGAACUGAGGGUAGCGGAGAAAUUCCAAUCGAACCUGGAGAUAGCUGGUUCUCUCCGAAAUAGCUUUAGGGCUAGCCUCAAGUGAUGAUUAUUGGAGGUAGAGCACUGUUUGGACGAGGGGCCCCUCUCGGGUUACCGAAUUCAGACAAACUCCGAAUGCCAAUUAAUUUAACUUGGGAGUCAGAACAUGGGUGAUAAGGUCCGUGUUCGAAAGGGAAACAGCCCAGACCACCAGCUAAGGUCCCAAAAUAUAUGUUAAGUGGAAAAGGAUGUGGCGUUGCCCAGACAACUAGGAUGUUGGCUUAGAAGCAGCCAUCAUUUAAAGAGUGCGUAAUAGCUCACUAGUCGAGUGACACUGCGCCGAAAAUGUACCGGGGCUAAACAUAUUACCGAAGCUGUGGAUUGUCCUUUGGACAAUGGUAGGAGAGCGUUCUAAGGGCGUUGAAGCAUGAUCGUAAGGACAUGUGGAGCGCUUAGAAGUGAGAAUGCCGGUGUGAGUAGCGAAAGACGGGUGAGAAUCCCGUCCACCGAUUGACUAAGGUUUCCAGAGGAAGGCUCGUCCGCUCUGGGUUAGUCGGGUCCUAAGCUGAGGCCGACAGGCGUAGGCGAUGGAUAACAGGUUGAUAUUCCUGUACCACCUAUAAUCGUUUUAAUCGAUGGGGGGACGCAGUAGGAUAGGCGAAGCGUGCGAUUGGAUUGCACGUCUAAGCAGUAAGGCUGAGUAUUAGGCAAAUCCGGUACUCGUUAAGGCUGAGCUGUGAUGGGGAGAAGACAUU
rnacentral:rRNA from 1 species